AGAUGUGCGGUUGAUCUAGUUGUGACAUCUGCCACCUCAUUGUUUGCCAAAGUUGAUUUGGCUGAUCUGGCUGUUGAGGGGAGUGUCCCCUUCCUUCCUUCCUCCUACCACUGUGUGUGAGCUCCUCCUGAAGCUGUGUGUUGGAUGGGGUGCAAGAAAAUACCUCUUGAUAGAAGAAGGCUGUAUUUUUGGAGGAGGAUAUAGGAGCAGCUGUGUUUCCCUGUUAGAUCCUUCAGGCUUUCACAAAACCUAGAACGCUUACUGUUUGGGCUUUUACAAACCAAGUGUGCACAUGUCUGCUAAAGAAUUGGAUAAUGAAGAAAUUAUGGACUGUUCUUU
rfam:Cricetulus griseus cell line CHO-K1, whole genome shotgun sequence.